GUAUUGGCCUACCGUGGCAAUGACGGGUAACGGGGAAUUAGGGUUCGAUUCCGGAGAGGGAGCCUGAGAAACGGCUACCACAUCUAAGGAAGGCAGCAGGCGCGCAAAUUACCCAAUCCUAAUACAGGGAGGUAGUGACAAGAAAUAACAAUACAGGACUUUUUGGUUUUGUAAUUGGAAUGAGUUAAGUAUAAACCCCUUUACAAGUAUCAAUUGGAGGGCAAGUCUGGUGCCAGCAGCCGCGGUAAUUCCAGCUCCAAUAGCGUAUAUUAAAGUUGUUGCAGUUAAAAAGCUCGUAGCUGGAUUUCUGUUAAUAAUUUAUAUAAAAUAUUUUGAUGAAUAUUUAUAUAAUAUUAACAUAAUUCAUAUUACUAUAUAUUUUAGUAUAUGAAAUUUUACUUUGAGAAAAUUAGAGUGCUUAAAGCAGGCAUAUGCCUUGAAUACUCCAGCAUGGAAUAAUAUUAAAGAUUUUUAUCUUUCUUAUUGGUUCUAAGAUAAGAAUAAUGGUUAAUAGGGACAGUUGGGGGCAUUUGUAUUUAA
rnacentral:rRNA from 1 species